rnacentral:lncRNA from 1 species
GCCGGACCAUAUGAGUAUUUGGACCAUAUAGGUAUAUUUUUCAAUAAUAUGCAUGAGAAAACUUUAUAAAAUAACAAUGAUUGCUACAUGCAAUUGUAUUAUUUACAAUUCAAAUAACAUUAAAUAUUGGUGCCAAAGCUAGUUUUCAUCGCUAAUUGUCAUCUUGCAUGGAUGCGUAGGGUGAUAUUUACGUCCACACAGUACCAUAGCUUUGCUUGGGUCCUUGGUCAUUCCGAUGUGUCUACGGUGAAAAAGCUCUAGAUCUCCAAUAUCGUAACAUGACUGAAGUGCAUCAUAUCACCAGACAACUUUAAAAAAUAAACUAGU